UGGCUCAGUGGUUAAGAGCACUGACUGCUCUUCCAGAGGCCCUGGGUUCAAAUCCCAG
rnacentral:tRNA from 1 species